UCUGUUUGUUUUGUCCAGUUUUUAAUAUUUACAAAUUAAUAAAUGCUUACAGUAGUUCUGGCUUUAAUAGUAACACAUGGAAAAACUGCACUUUUUUAUGUUAUUUUAAAAAGCUAUAGAUAACAGAGAAACUGGUUGUUCUGCAGGGCACGGUGGCAAAGUGAAUGAUGCAGCUGGCAGCGACACAGAGUAAAUUCCAGCAGAGAAUCCAGGAGAGAGAGAAGGAGCUGCAGGAUCUGAGACAGGCUGUGCAGUCACUCAAGCGCUCUGCACAUGCAGCAGUGGAAGACAGUGAGAGGAUCUUUACUGAGCUUAUCCGCUCCAUUGAAAGAAGGUGCUCUGAGGUGAAAGAGAUGAUCAGAGAUCAGGAGAAGUCUGCAGUGAGUCGGGCUGAAGGACUCCUGGAGCGACUGGAGCAGGAGAUUGCUGAGCUGAAGAGGAGAGAUGCUGAGCUGGAGCAGCUUUCAACCACAGAGGAUCACAUCCACUUC